GCAGUCAGUCUCACUACACAACCCUCAAGCUGCUAAAUGCGAACUGACUGAUCUGUAAUCAUCUGGAAGAUGGUGGAGAUGUGAGGGAUCAGUGUCUGAUCAGAUACAUCGUGAGAUGUGGAUCCCUGUGCAAAAGCUAAAGUACCCAACUAUCGAGAUAGUAUGAAAGCUACAUGCUGAGAGAUCAUCUCUAUCUGAUCAUCAGCCAAUCUGAUCUCUGAGGGAUGUGCUCUGCUGUCCGGCUGCUGAUCUGAAGUGUGCCUCCUCACAGACUCUGAUGGGCCAGCCUCGUGAUCCGAAAUGAACUGAAUAUCUGGAGAUGCUGCCC
rnacentral:lncRNA from 1 species